rnacentral:rRNA from 1 species
CAGGACGAACGCUGGCGGCGUGCCUAACACAUGCAAGUCGAGCGAGGAGAUCCUUCGGGAUGAUCCUAGCGGCGGACGGGUGAGUAACACUGGGCAACCUGCCUCAUAGAGAGGAAUAGCCUUCCGAAAGGGAGAUUAAUACCUCAUAACAUUGCAGUUUCGCAUGGAACAGCAAUUAAAGGAGUAAUCCGCUAUGAGAUGGGGCCCGCGGCGCAUUAGCUAGUUGGUGAGGUAACGGCUCACCCAAGGCGACGAUGCGUAGCCGACCUGAGAGGGUGAUCGGCCACAUUGGGACUGAGACACGGCCCAGACUCCUACGGGAGGCAGCAGUGGGGAAUAUUGCACAAUGGGGGAAACCCUGAUGCAAGCAACGCCGCGUGAGUGAUGACGGCCUUCGGGUUGUAAAGCUCUGUCUUCAGGGACGAUAAUGACGGUACCUGAGGAGGAAGCCACGGCUAACUACGUGCCAGCAGCCGC